UGGGGAAUAUUGCACAAUGGGCGCAAGCCUGAUGCAGCGACGCCGCGUGGGGGAUGACGGCCUUCGGGUUGUAAACUUCUUUCGCUAGGGACGAAGCUUUUUGUGACGGUACCUAGAUAAGAAGCACCGGCUAACUACGUGCCAGCAGCCGCGGUAAUACGUAGGGUGCGAGCGUUGUCCGGAAUUACUGGGCGUAAAGGGCUCGUAUGUGGUUUGUCGCGUCGUCUGUGAAAUUCCGGGGCUUAACUCCGGGCGUGCAGGCGAUACGGGCAUAACUUGAGUACUGUAGGGGUAACUGGAAUUCCUGGUGUAGCGGUGAAAUGCGCAGAUAUCAGGAGGAACACCGAUGGCGAAGGCAGGUUACUGGGCAGUUACUGACGCUGAGGAGCGAAAGCAUGGGUAGCGAACAGG
rnacentral:rRNA from 1 species